CGGGAAGGGGUUGAGCUUGGAAAGCAGGCGCCAACGAUAGACAUUACGUCAUUUCACUAGUCCGCGUGUUACCUUUGAGAGAUGUGCAAUACACCAAGGAAAUCGUUUCUAUUCAGAUAAUAUUGCCGAUUAUUAACAGUUGAUACAUACUACUUUUCAACAAAUAAUGUGCUAAAGUACCCAUUGUAAAUGUCAACAGUUUUAAUUAACAUUCAA